rnacentral:rRNA from 1 species
GUUAAAGAGGCUAGCUUUUGCUGGUCGCUGGCUUCUUAGAGGGACUAUCGGCUCAAGCCGAUGGAAGUUUGAGGCAAUAACAGGUCUGUGAUGCCCUUAGAUGUCCCGGGCCGCACGCGCGUUACACUGACAGAGCCAACGAGUUCAUCACCUUGGCCGAAAGGCCUGGGUAAUCUUGUUAAACUCUGUCGUGCUGGGGAUAGAGCAUUGCAAUUAUUGCUCUUCAACGAGGAAUGCCUAGUAAGCGCGUGUCAUCAGCACGCGUUGAUUACGUCCCUGCCCUUUGUACACACCGCCCGUCGCUACUACCGAUUGAAUGGCUGA